UGUCUGCUGGUUGAUGGUUCAAGAUG
rnacentral:piRNA from 1 species